GGCCCCGCAGCGCAGCACUGCGUGCGAUGCUGACGGGUGCAAUGGGCCCUAAAGAUCUUAGGCUCCUAUUUCAAGCUCCAUCCCACCUGCUGCUGGGGCAUACACAGCCUCCCUGUACAGCCUGGUCCAGUUCCUCACCACUCUCACAGUAAAGAAUGUCUCCCUAAUAUCUCAUGUUGCAAUGAUGUCUGGCCUAUCUCUGACAGACUGCGGGAAGAGGGAACGAGAUGGGUGGAAAAGCAGUGGAGAAUGUGGCCAAGAUGUGUUUAGAGGGGCUCCCCAAAUUCUGCUGUGUAAAGUACAUUCAGGGUGCCCAAAGCUGUCUGUCUUUAAAGAGAUUACUCAUGUGUGACAUCUCAGGGGUAGCUUUUACCCUUGCUGCAUCAGUGCAGUCCUUUCCCGUGACAGAGCCCAGCCCAGUCCCUUGCCCCAGCCCACGAGGCUGCCUCUCAUGCUGGCCACGCGUGAGCUCCACGGGAACCAGGCAGGAGGGUCUGGGCUCAGCGCUGGCAGCUGUGGUGACAAACAAAUGAAGUGCUGGCAGACAAAUGCUGGAGCUCUGUCUCUUGAAAAAUUCCAGUAAGAAGCGUCUCGCAGGGAUGUGCUGCAGCAUCACUCACCGGCUGUUUUCCUUUGCCAAAGGCACUCCAGUCUCGAAGGGCUCAGUCCUCAGGAUGCCAGUGAAUAAAUGGCUGAUGGUUAUCUCCCCCUGUUGGCUGAAGGUCAGCUUCGGUGUGUUAGGUACAUCCAGGAAAAGGGAUUUCAGGCAGCACGGAGUAGUUCUUGCUCAUGUGCAAAAUCCUUUAACCCCAAAUGUUUAGAGGUUUGUGCCCUUCCUACAUACCAGACAGAUUCUUGGAAAGCAAAUUGUGUAUAUAUUUGUUUUUAACACAAUUUGUUUGGCUUUCAAUUUAUACUGAAUAUUUUCUUUCUUUUUGCUUAUUACCGCCUGAGCUACUGAACUGUUCUGCUUACUAUUUUUUAUGUGAUUCUUUUAGAAUUAAAUCCCUUAAGGAAAUGUGUAACUGUCUAGAAAGAAAGAUGGUUUUGCAGUUUCCAGAA